GAUGAAGAACGUAGCGAAAUGCGAUAAGUAAUGUGAAUUGCAGAAUUCAGUGAAUCAUCGAAUCUUUGAACGCACAUUGCGCCCCUUGGUAUUCCGAGGGGCAUGCCUGUUCGAGCGUCAUUAUAACCCCUCAAGCUCAGGUUGGUGUUGGGGCCUGCUGCACUGGCAGCCCUUAAAAUCAGUGGCGGCGCCAUCUGGCUCUAAGCGUAGUAAUUCUUCUCGCUAUGGAGUCCUGGUGGAUGCUUGCCAUCAACCCCCAAUUUUUCUAUGGUUGACCUCGGAUCAGGUAGGGAUACCCGCUGAACUUAAGCAUAUCAAUAAGCGGAGGA
rnacentral:misc_RNA from 1 species